UACGUAGGCAGCGAGCGUUGUUUGGAAUUACUGGGCGUAAAGAGUGUGUAGGCGGUGCUCUAAGUUCGGUGUGAAAUCUCCUGGCUCAACUGGGAGGGUGCGCCGGAAACUGGAGUGCUUGAGCGUGGGAGAGGAAAGCGGAAUUCCUGGUGUAGCGGUGAAAUGCGUAGAUAUCAGGAGGAACACCGGUGGCGAAGGCGGCUUUCUGGACAGUGACUGACGCUGGAGACGCGAAAGCGUGGGGAGCAAACAGG
rnacentral:rRNA from 1 species